AGAAAUUUGAAAUUUAAUUAGGAACUUUUGAAAAAUAAAUUCUCAACAAACAUCAUAAUUAUUGCCAAUCAGUCAAAAUGGACUUCAAUUUUAGACCAAAAAAACAUUCCAUUUGUUUCUUGGAUUACUAUUUUUUCCAUCAAGUAAACCAAAGCAUUCUGUUGGAGAAAGAUUUUAAAACCUUUUCUUACAAUGGAAAACAAUCUCCUCCUCUUUUUCUGACUGGAGUUCAGAGUGGGUAAACAAAGGCCUUUUUUUGUUGAAAUUGAAAUUGAUUCCACCUUUCAAAUUUCACUCCAGUUUUUACUUGGCGUUCUGAAUCUGUAGCUUAAAAAUUCUGGGCACGCUAAAUAAAUAUAACAAAUAAAAUUGCUUUUGUGUUUAUAAUUGGAAGUACAAAAUUGUGGACAAGAGUUGUGUGCAAAUUGUAUUUUGAAAACUUGAAUGAUGUUUUGUUUUUGAUAACACUGCAAGGUACAAUCUACCACGGAUGAGAAGCUUACUGGAGAGAAGAGGGAAAGUAGCGAUGAACCAACGACUUCAGGGGAAUCCGAUCGUCCAAUCCAAGUUAUUUUGUUAUUGCAGUUUAACACCCCCCCCCCCCUCCCCACUGGAGAUGAGAGGCUGUAGAGGAAUUUGUUGUGGUGACAAUGAAUCAUUCUAAUCAAAGUAUGGGCUCUGAGAAACACGCAGGAGACAAGAUCUGCCGCAGUCGUUGUUAGCAAGAACUACCAGUUUAAUAAGGUGGACCACACAGACAGCACAAUAGCCUUGCAGAGGAGAGCGUUUCUCACGAGUGGAUUUACAACUGACUGACCAAUCAACCUUCAUCAGAACUUUUUGAAGUAGUGGUGUUGGGAAAGCUAGGUUUUCAGGGAGGUUGCUUACAGCCAGGUGAUGACCAGCAUCUUUCGCCAGUAGUCUCCUGGUCUUCCACUGCAUCUCCAAUUUCUUGCCACCACAGACGGAUGUUUCAGUGAAGUAGUUUUGCUCCAACCUCUCUGCCAUCUGCCAUGCGAUGGGCGCUAGAGCACAUCCCGUUGAGGAAGUUAACAAAGCUGAUGUUUAAUGGUAGCUACUAGAGAUCCUGGAUGCUGACUCUGCCCAGGUUUUCACAAUGGCUGGACCUAAAAGUGCUGAAAUGCCCUGAAACUGCUCAUCAAACAUCAGUCUUUGAUAAGACAGGACCUGAGUAACCUGAGCAAGUCAUCAGACGUCUGUUAUCAGAACCACAAGAAGAGGAACGCAUGUGUUUCAGUUGUUCUCCCAAAUUAGUGGAGCCUCAAAAGCUACAAAA
rnacentral:lncRNA from 1 species